GGGGGUGUACAUGGAAAUCGACCUAUAGAGUAUGAGGGAGCAAGCGAGCCGAGAUUACUAUUAAACUCGUAAGAUUAAUAGUAUUUAAAUUUAUUUGCAAACGAUAAUAAUUACGCUUUAGCGGCUGCGUAACGCACCCGCUACGCUUAUAGGGGUCUUGUCUGUGGGCGCCUAUAAGUGUCAUAAUUAAGCAGGCUAUCUAUUUUCUGAAGCUUGUAGGAAGAUAGUGAACUUAUCAAGCUAGCAAUUUUAAACCCUGCUUAUGGGGGGUAAAGUUGCGAAACUAAAUCAUAAGCUACGCUCGUAGAAACUCCUAGGGUACUCUAUGGGGACGGGAGUUCGAAUCUCCCCACCUCCACCA
rnacentral:tmRNA from 1 species